UGGUGCUUUGUAUUCUGGAAGGGUUUGAAGUGUUCUAUGAUGGUGCUUUGUAUUCUGGAAGGUUUUGAAGUGUUCUAUGAUGGUGCUUUGUAUUCUGGAAGGGUUUGAAGUGUUCUAUGAUGGUGCUUUGUAUUCUGGAAGGUUUUGAAGUGUUCUAUGACGGUGCUUUGUAUUCUGGAAGGUUUUGAAGUGUUCUAUGACGGUGCUUUGUAUUCUGGAAGGUUUUGAAGUGUUCUAUGAUGGUGCUUUGUAUUCUGGAAGGGUUUGAAGUGUUCUAUGAAGGUGCUUUGUAUUCUGGAAGGGUUUGAAGUGUUCUAUGAUGGUGCUUUGUAUUCUGGAAGGUUUUGAAGUGUUCUAUGAUGGUGCUUUGUAUUCUGGAAGGGUUUGAAGUGUUCUAUGAUGGUGCUUUGUAUUCUGGAAGGGUUUGAAGUGUUCUAUGAUGGUGCUUUGUAUUCUGGAAGGUUUUGAAGUGUUCUAUGAUGGUGCUUUGUAUUCUGGAAGGGUUUGAAGUGUUCUAUGAUGGUGCUUUGUAUUCUGGAAGGUUUUGAAGUGUUCUAUGAUGGUGCUUUGUAUUCUGGAAGGUUUUGAAGUGUUCUAUGAAGGUGCUUUGUAUUCUGGAAGGGUUUGAAGUGUUCUAUGACGGUGCUUUGUAUUCUGGAAGGUUUUGAAGUGUUCUAUGACGGUGCUUUGUAUUCUGGAAGGUUUUGAAGUGUUCUAUGAUGGUGCUUUGUAUUCUGGAAGGGUUUGAAGUGUUCUAUGAUGGUGCUUUGUAUUCUGGAAGGUUUUGAAGUGUUCUAUGAUGGUGCUUUGUAUUCUGGAAGGGUUUGAAGUGUUCUAUGAUGGUGCUUUGUAUUCUGGAAGGUUUUGAAGUGUUCUAUGACGGUGCUUUGUAUUCUGGAAGGGUUUGAAGUGUUCUAUGACGGUGCUUUGUAUUCUGGAAGGUUUUGAAGUGUUCUAUGAUGGUGCUUUGUAUUCUGGAAGGUUUUGAAGUGUUCUAUGAUGGUGCUUUGUAUUCUGGAAGGUUUUGAAGUGUUCUAUGACGGUGCUUUGUAUUCUGGAAGGUUUUGAAGUGUUCUAUGACGGUGCUUUGUAUUCUGGAAGGGUUUGAAGUGUUCUAUGAAGGUGCUUUGUAUUCUGGAAGGGUUUGAAGUGUUCUAUGAUGGUGCUUUGUAUUCUGGAAGGUUUUGAAGUGUUCUAUGAUGGUGCUUUGUAUUCUGGAAGGUUUUGAA